UGGGGAAUUUUGGACAAUGGGCGCAAGCCUGAUCCAGCCAUGCCGCGUGCGGGAAGAAGGCCUUCGGGUUGUAAACCGCUUUUGUCAGGGAAGAAAUCCUUUGGGCUAAUACCCCGGGGGGAUGACGGUACCUGAAGAAUAAGCACCGGCUAACUACGUGCCAGCAGCCGCGGUAAUACGUAGGGUGCAAGCGUUAAUCGGAAUUACUGGGCGUAAAGCGUGCGCAGGCGGUUAUGCAAGACAGAUGUGAAAUCCCCGGGCUCAACCUGGGAACUGCAUUUGUGACUGCAUAGCUGGAGUGCGGCAGAGGGGGAUGGAAUUCCGCGUGUAGCAGUGAAAUGCGUAGAUAUGCGGAGGAGCACCGAUGGCGAAGGCAAUCCCCUGGGCCUGCACUGACGCUCAUGCACGAAAGCGUGGGGAGCAAACAGGAUUAGAUACCCUGGUAGUCCACGCCCUAAACGAUGUCAACUGGUUGUUGGGAAGGUUCCUUCUCAGUAACGUAGCUAACGCGUGAAGUUGACCGCCUGGGGAGUACGGCCGCAAGGUUG
rnacentral:rRNA from 1 species